rnacentral:rRNA from 1 species
AUUGAACGCUGGCGGCAUGCUUUACACAUGCAAGUCGAACGGUAACAGCACUUCGGUGGCUGACGAGUGGCGAACGGGUGAGUAAUACAUCGGAACGUGCCUAGUAGUGGGGGAUAACUACUCGAAAGAGUAGCUAAUACCGCAUGAAAUCUAAGGAUGAAAGCAGGGGACCUUCGGGCCUUGCGCUACUAGAGCGGCUGAUGGCAGAUUAGGUAGUUGGUGGGAUAAAAGCUUACCAAGCCGACGAUCUGUAGCUGGUCUGAGAGGACGACCAGCCACACUGGGACUGAGACACGGCCCAGACUCCUACGGGAGGCAGCAGUGGGGAAUUUUGGACAAUGGGCGCAAGCCUGAUCCAGCAAUGCCGCGUGCAGGAUGAAGGCCUUCGGGUUGUAAACUGCUUUUGUACGGAACGAAAAGCCCUCUUCUAAUACAGGAGGGUCAUGACGGUACCGUAAGAAUAAGCACCGGCUAACUACGUG